UAGGGAAUCUUCGGCAAUGGACGAAAGUCUGACCGAGCAACGCCGCGUGAGUGAAGAAGGUUUUCGGAUCGUAAAACUCUGAUGGUAGAGAAGAACGUUGGUGAGAGUGGAAAGCUCAUCAAGUGACGGUAACUACCCAGAAAGGGACGGCUAACUACGUGCCACCAG
rnacentral:rRNA from 1 species